ensembl:snRNA
GUGUUGUAUGAAAGGAAAGAAGGUUAGCACUCCCCUUGACAAGGAUGGAAGUAGGCCCUCGGGCCCUGACAACACACAUACGGAUAAGACAUUGCCACCUACUUAGUGGCAUCUAACCAUCGUUUUUU